rnacentral:rRNA from 1 species
CUACCAGGGUAUCUAAUCCUGUUUGCUCCCCACGCUUUCGCGCCUCAGCGUCAAUUGCAGGCCAGAUGGCCGCCUUCGCCACCGGUGUUCUUCCCAAUAUCUACGAAUUUCACCUCUACACUGGGAAUUCCGCCAUCCUCUCCUGCCUUCCAGCGCCGCAGUAUCAAGCGCCAUUCCCAGGUUGAGCCCGGGCCUUUCACGCCUGACUUACAGCACAGCCUACGCGCCCUUUACGCCCAGUAAUUCCGAACAACGCUAGCCCCCUUCGUAUUACCGCGGCUGCUGGCAC